rnacentral:misc_RNA from 1 species
UCAGCCCUUCCACAAUGCCAA